rnacentral:rRNA from 1 species
UACGAAGGGUGCAAGCGUUAAUCGGAAUUACUGGGCGUAAAGCGCACGUAGGCGGCUUGGUAUGCGGGUGUGAAAUCCCCGGGCUCAACCUGGGAACUGCAUCCGAAACUGCCUUGCUCGAGUAUGGAGAGGGAAGUGGAAUUUCCGGUGUAGCGGUGAAAUGCGUAGAUAUCGGAAGGAACAUCAGUGGCGAAAGCGGCUUCCUGGUCCAGCACCGACGUUCAGGCACGGAAA